rnacentral:rRNA from 1 species
AUAACGUCGCAAGACCAAAGAGGGGGACCUUCGGGCCUCUUGCCAUCGGAUGUGCCCAGAUGGGAUUAGCUAGUAGGUGGGGUAACGGCCCACCUAGGCGACGAUCCCUAGCUGGUCUGAGAGGAUGACCAGCCACACUGGAACUGAGACACGGUCCAGACUCCUACGGGAGGCAGCAGUGGGGAAUAUUGCACAAUGGGCGCAAGCCUGAUGCAGCCAUGCCGCGUGUAUGAAGAAGGCCUUCGGGUUGUAAAGUACUUUCAGCGGGGAGGAAGGGAGUAAAGUUAAUACCUUUGCUCAUUGACGUUACCCGCAGAAGAAGCACCGGCUAACUCCGUGCCAGCAGCCGCGGUAAUACGGAGGGUGCAAGCGUUAAUCGGAAUUACUGGGCGUAAAGCGCACGCAGGCGGUUUGUUAAGUCAGAUGUGAAAUCCCCGGGCUCAACCUGGGAACUGCAUCUGAUACUGGCAAGCUUGAGUCUCGUAGAGGGGGGUAGAAUUCCAGGUGUAGCGGUGAAAUGCGUAGAGAUCUGGAGGAAUACCGGUGGCGAAGGCGGCCCCUGGACGAAGACUGACGCUCAGGUG